rnacentral:rRNA from 1 species
CCUACGGGAGGCAGCAGUGGGGAAUAUUGCGCAAUGGGCGAAAGCCUGACGCAGCGACGCCGCGUGAGGGAUGAAGGUCUUCGGAGCGGAAACCUCUGUCAGCAGGGAAGAACGGUCACGGUGCUAAUCAGCAGUGAAUUGACGGUACCAGCAAAGGAAGCACCGGCUAACUCCGUGCCAGCAGCCGCGGUAAUACGGAGGGGGCGAGUGUUAAGCGGAAUUACUGGGCGUAAAGCGCUCGUAGGCGGUAUGUCAAGUCAAGGGUGAAAUCCCCGCGCUCAACGUGGGAACUGCCUGUGAAACUGGCAGACUGGAGUGUGUGAGAGGAUAGUGGAAUUCCAGGUGUAGGAGUGAAAUCCGUAGAUAUCUGGAGGAACAUCAGUGGCGAAGGCGACUAUCUGGCACAUAACUGACGCUGAGGAGCGAAAGCGUGGGUAGCAAACAGGAUUAGAUACCCCUGUAGUC